AGGUUGUCUUGGAUUCAGAUGAUCAGUUAUUUGGAGGCUUUAACAGGCUUGACCAUAAUGCCGAGUACUUCAGCUCAGAAGGGUGGUAUGAUGACCGGCCUCGUUCCUUCUUGGUAUAUGCACCGAGUAGAACAGUUGUUGUAUAUGCACUAGUAGAUAAUGAAUUGGAACCUGCUCAAGUAGAGAAUGAAUUGGAAUCUGCCAGUUGAUAUCUAACACGUGAUGAUGUAAGAGAAUCAAAAAAUGUAGUGAAAGAGUCUACGCCAAAUUACAGUGGCAGUCUGGCAACGUAAAAGUAAAAGAUGAGCCCAAGGUAAAGCAAAGCAUACAUCCAAGUUGGGAGUUGUGUAAAUGUUUCUUGCUAGCUAAAUUAUGUAUGUGCUAAGUGUUUCUUGGACAUACAGCAGAGAUUGUACUGUAUUUAUAAUUUCUAUAUCUAAAUCUGUGUCUUCAUCUACUAGAAUAAAAGGCGAAUUUUUAACUAAGAAA